rnacentral:snRNA from 1 species
GGCUUUGCACAGUGGCAGUAUCGUAGCCAAUGAGGUUUAUCCGAGGCGCAAUUAUUGCUAAUUGAAAAAUGUUCACCAUCAUUGGGGCCUUCAUUGAGUUGUAAUCUUUUUGCCAUAGUAACACCAAAGAUCACUGAUCACAACUCAUCAUAACAAGUAUAGUAAUAAUGAAAAAGUUUGAAAUAUUGUGAGACUUAACAAAAAAU